ensembl:lncRNA
AAAAAAAAAAACACAUUACAUUGCAUAUGUAUACAUGCCAAAACCUAUGUACACGAUUAAAACGACUUUUUAAAUUAUAAUGUGCAAUUCGCAGCUUAUUUUUAUUAAUCAAUAAAUAGUAUUUAAAAACAAUUAUAACAAAAGGGAAAUAUAUGUAUGUAUGUAUGUACUUACCUACGUAUAUACUGAAGUAUGUGUGGUUGUUAUUAUUAUAUAUAUAUAUGUACGUAAAUAUGUACAUAUAUACAGGCACGAUAGUGCUUUAAAAUUUAACAACGCAAGAAGAAAAAAAAAAAAAAAAAAAAAAAAAAAAAAACUGAACAGUUUUAAUUAUAUUCCAAACAUCCUACACUUAGCCAAACUAAAAAUCACAAAACAAAAAUGGACACAAAUAAUACCACCUCUAUGAAUAUGUUAAACGUUGGAGAGCACAGUCGUAACAUGGGCAGUAUGAAUCAUAUGAAUAAAAAAAAUAAUGCCGACAUAAACAACAACAAUGUCUAUAAUAGUAUGUACAAAGACAACCAUAAAAAUAAUGAAAUUAUGAACAACUACGAUAAACAUAUGGAAACUAAUUUAAGUGUACACUACUCGAAUAAACAACAUCCAGAUGAUAAGCAGUAUGCCUUUUACAAUUCGAACAUAAAUAAUAUCGCAUAUGCCAACACAAAUGCCAACACAAAUACCAACACAUUUGCCAACACAAAUACCAACACAUAUGCCAACACAAAUGCCAGUACGAAUAACCAAGUUGGUACCCAAAAUGGGGACCCUACAAAUAUAAAAACCAACUCUAUAGGUAACGAAAAUAAAGAAGACAACAUAAAAAACAUAUCCUAUUUUGCCAAGUAUUUAUUUUUUAUAGCAAAAAAAAUAGCAAAUGAAAAUGAAAAUCGAAAUGGGUCUAUUCAAGAAACAUACCUAACUGAAGAAACAAAAAAACUUUUAGUUAAACAUUUAAUUUAUAAACUUAAUAAAAUUUUAUCAACUUUGAUACAUUAUAACAUAUUACAAUUUACAGAAAAUAUAAAUAUAAAACAGAGCAUAGAAUAUAUGUGUUUAAAAAAUAGUAAUAUAACUCUAAACAAUCUCAGAUUAAUGUUAAAAAAACUAGAAGCCAGUAACAUUAAUUAUAAAUACAUAUUAUAUGUAUUAUUAAAAUUAAAAACAUAUGAAAACGAAUGUAAAAGUGAAGAACAAGUUCAAAUAAAAAACAAAGCGUUAGAUUAUGUUAGUGUUUCGAAUCAUCAACAUAUGGAUGUAGUAGGCCAAUCGAAUAAAAUACAACAACCAAUAGACAAACACAUAGACAUAACAAAGAGGUCAAACAUGGUGGAUACUCGUGAAAACCUAAAUCGGGAUGUGCGUCCCGGAGAGUAUGACAUUACUAAUGCCAACACACACGACAUUACUAAUGCCAACACACACGACAUUACUAAUGUCAACAUACACGACAUUACUAAUGUCAACACACACGACGUUACCAAUGCCAACACACACGACGUUACCAAUGCCAACACACACGACAUUACCAAUGCCAACACACAACUUUACUCAGAAAAAGACAAAAAAAAAAAAAAAAUCACACAAACAAUAAAUAACAACAGCUACAGCAACAACAACUACAGCUACAACCACAACCACAACCACAACCACAACCACAACUAUCGAAACCAAAACGAUAGUAUUUUGCUGCACAAAAAUAACUUCGUGAAUAAAGCUUUAUAUGCAAGCAUAAUUUUAAAUAACAAAUUCCACACAUUUGACAUUGAAGAAAAUAUAUUAUUACGCGAUUUAAUUUACCCACUACAAGGCCUAAAUGGCAAUUACAUUAAAUAUAAUAAAAAAAAAAAAUGUUUUUAUGUACAUAACAGAAAAGUAAGCAUAGGUAUACAUCAUUUAAUUAACAAUAUAAGUAUUGUUGGUAUUUUAUUUAAAAAGUUAAAAAAGUUUAUUAACAUCUCAUCAAGUGAAGAUAUUAUAGGAUUAAAAAAAAAUACACAUAUAUAUAAUUCGUCUUGUCACGACAGUAGUAACACUUAUUAUAAUUACCAUAAAAACGAUUUUACAAAUAACAAUAAUAAUUUAGGAUCAAGUUAUGAAAGUGGUUGUACAUUUAGUAGUUAUAGUGAAAGUGAUAGCAGCGAAGAUCUUAAUAGUAAAUCAUACAAACAUAACGAAGAAACAUAUACACAUAAAAAUUAUAACAAUAUUACAUACACAAAUGAAACAGAUAAUGCUAACCUGAGUGGUCUUAUUAAUGACCAUGUAAAUACAAAUACAGAAAAUGGAACUAUUUCUAACAAUAUAAAUGUCAAUAUAAAUGUCAAUCCGAAUCAAUUGUCAUCAUUUAUACCUAACAAAAUGAUAAACAAAAAUAUACAUAAAAAAAAAAAAAAAAAAAAAAAAAUAUCUAAAAGUCGGUUUCAUUUAAUUAAAAAAAAAAAAGGCAGCUUAGUAGUAGAUGCCUUGUAUCAAAUUAUAAGAGAAUAUAUAUAUGAAUAUUACAAACUACUUGCAUACAUAGAAACAGAUAUAAAUGAACAUAUACAUAAAAAUACAGUUUAUAUUGGUAUCAAAAAAAUGUAUAUUUUAUUACAAGAAUCAUAUAAAAUUUUACGAAUUUUGGUGAAUAUUUUAGACGAAUCGUUCAGAUCCACUGGGUGUAAACUACUCUCUUUUUUAUAUUUGAAAUCAAAAACUUACGACUAUGAAGAGCAAAAAGUAUAUAAAAAAAUUUUACAGCGUUGUGUUAAACCUAUUAAUAAUAUACUUAAACAUUGGGUUAACUCAGGUGAAUUAAGAGAUAAAUAUAAUGAAACUUUUAUAUUAAUUGAUACUAAUGUACAAGGAGAACAAACAUGGAUGUACCGUUUUAUUUUAAAUGUUAAUAAUAUACCAUUGUUUAUAAGUUUUAGCACUGCAAAAAAAAUAUUGCUUACAGGUAAAAGUAUGUAUUUAUUAAAUUAUUUUGUUAAAAAUGAUAACACAGAAGAUAAUGGUGUUACAAGUUCAUUUUUGUUUAAUCAUCAUGAUAUCCGACAUACUGUUAAAGAUGUAAUGAAUCGUGACACAUUUUGCAAUACUCCAAUGUAUAAUGCUACCGCAACUUCAACUGCAACUGCAACUGCUACUACUACCGCAACUGCUACUACUACCGCUACCGCUACUACUCUCAACCAAGCUAAUAAUACACACAUAAAAAGCGGACAAUUCUUCGAUAUGUAUAUCAACAUAAAUCAAGAUUACCUUUCCGAUACAAGCGACUCAGAUUUCAUGGUAAACAUUUUUACUAUAAAU